rnacentral:rRNA from 1 species
UACGUAGGGGGCAAGCGUUGUCCGGAAUCAUUGGGCGUAAAGAGCGUGUAGGCGGCUCGAUAAGUCUGCUGUGAAAGUCCAGGGCUCAACCCUGGAAGGCCGGUGGAAACUGUCGGGCUAGAGUCCGGAAGAGGCGAGUGGAAUUCCUGGUGUAGCGGUGGAAUGCGCAGAUAUCAGGAGGAACACCGAUAGCGAAGGCAGCUCGCUGGGACGGUACUGACGCUGAGGCGCGAAAGCGUGGGGAGCGAACAGG